GAUCGGCAGCAUAUCAAAACAUGCACAAGUUUAAACUGCUGAUCCAUUUAUUUUGUUUACUUAUGCGCGGAUCUGCUGUUUGCCAGCUUAACUCCGUUUUAUUAAAGCGCUAGUCAACCAGUGAACCACAAAAAUGUCCAUGAAUUCCGGCCCGCUUCAAAUCAGUAUUGCGUUCGAAGUUCCACAUAACAUCUUUAGCCACAUUACCGGACAGGGCGGAGUGAACAUUUCUAAAAUCCGGCGUGCAUCAGGUGCAUUAAUUCUGAUCGCACCUACAAAAACGCCUACGAUGUAUCGGAUGCGCAUUUCCGGUCCACCGCAUGCGGUGGUCAAGGCGCGAGAGAUGAUGGGUGCCUUUUUGAACAGUGUCUAGCCGUUCGGAAAAUCCUGCUGCUUUUGCGCAAGCUAACAGCAGUUGGUAUGAUGUUCACAACCAACAGUCAGUGAGAAAACAAAACGAUUUAUAUAACAUUCAAAAAUAAAAAAUAAGGUACUAUAUAACUGUUGAAGAAAAGUUGUUACCUGUUACUGUAUUCACUAAGAAUCACAUCAGCUGCUUUCUCUGCCACGGCAACUACAACCGAAUUCGGUGUCCCGGAAACUG